UUUAUAAUAAAUUGUAAUGUGCCUUAACAGUCGAAAACUAAAUUUGUAUAAAAAUUUGUCGACACAAACUGUCAUUUUACACUACUGUUAAGGCAUCUUGAGUUUUUGAGUCCAAGAUAUUUGAAUCGGAAAUGUAUGCUCUCUUUCUUCACCACAACCGAAGCAACUACGUAUAGACAUUUUGAAAUUAUGAAAUAUAAACUGAGAUAACACAAAAAACGCGUGCGUAGAACGGAUGAUGUAUGACGACUAGUGAACCCGAGAGACCCCGAACCAUGAAUAUUGAUUUCGAAUUGGUAUAAAUAACUAAAAAUGCUUUAUGAUAAACAACAACAUUUGUUUGUUUUUCGGGCGCGUAUAUGAAUGGUUUUAUUGGUAUUCCGACAUGGGAACAGGUGACUUAAGCCAUGUGAAAGACAUGGAUUUUCAAGAUAAAUGCCUAGAAC